rnacentral:ncRNA from 2 species
AAUAAAGCACUGCCUGAUGGUGACUUUUAAAUAAAGUUGAAAAGGGAAGCUGGUGAGAAUCCAGCGCGGUCCCGCCACUGUAAUGAGGAGAGCCUCUCCAUAACCACUGUUCACAUGAAACGGGAAGGGGAGAUGGUUCUAUGACUCAAAGCCAGGAGACCUGCCAUAAGGAAGAACAUCAA